UCUGCGCUGGGUGCGCAGAACGACCGGAUGUAGUUCAGCAUGCGCUGCAAACUGUAGACACCGUACACACCCGGGCGCGCACCGCAUACGAGGGGGUGAUGGCUGCUUUAUUCACCUGUUGUGUUGCAUGACAAGACGAGUUAUGACAAUAAUAAGUUCCAAGUAGCUUAUUUGAAACGAUUUUUUUUGUCAGUCGAAAUGAAUAACAUACAAUAAUAAAAAGUUGUUACAAAGUUUUGAAUACAAGUAUAUAUUAUUUGUGAAUUUGUUUUUGUUUCUGAAACUAUUUCAACUUGUAUCUUUUUUAGAGUGAAAUUCAGCUAUGCAGCCCAUGAUGUAACCAGUGUCGCGUAUAUUAAAAUGAGCCUGCCUCAGGACGGCACAGACGGGGGGAACUCCGCCGUUAAUUAAGAGGACAGCUUUGAUUGACAACCGGCUGAGCAGGUGUGCCGAAACCCAUCGCUUAUGAUGAAUUCCCGGCGCUAGCACGACGUGCUUUAAAGACCUGUGGCGUGCCAAUGUUUUGCUCUGAGGAUGCAUCCAACUCGACUCCUCUCCUUUUUAUACCCUGGCCGUCCUCUGCCAACACAAACCAUGGCUGCGUUCCAGAACGUUCUCCUUGAUCCCUCCUGCUGUGGGCACCAGCAGUAUCACGACUGAGCACUGGGAGACUGGGAACCGGUUCGGAACAGCCGAGCUGCCAGAGACAUUAGUCAUCAACCAACUGUCGAUCAUCUGACCAAACAGAACCUUCCUACUCUGUAGCCAAGCACCUUUGUUGCAUGACGGCGCGCGACGUAUAAUCGCUCAAACAUUUCCUAUUCGGAGACACCAAUGUACCCUCGGGACCCGUGACGAUUUGUGGACGAAAGCGGAUCUUUGGGUCGCGGAUUCGACAACGAGAACAGUGUGCACAACGGAGAUCGAGGAAAAGAUCUGGAGAUUGAGCAGGAAGCGAGAUGUGGAAUCGUGUUAGACAGACUAUUCUAUUGGAAUGCGGCCCAUACAACUAUAAACUAUCAAUAUAAAUGGAACACGCGCCGCGGCCUGUGGAGACGGGGUCGUUGAAGGGGCAGGCAUCCUUCACAUCGCCAAACCUCCAGAACAGAGUUGUGAAGGCAGCUCUCACACCGGGGAACAGGGGAGAGAGACCCUAAAACGACGUGCAAGAGUAGGACAGAGUGGGUGAGGGUUCUACAUAACCCAUCAGGAGAAAGAGGGCAGUGAGUCUGAAUUACCCUUGUUCUGUAAGAGGAAAAUCAAUCAAUACAGCUACAUCCAUAAUUCCUGUGUGGGUUUUCAGCUAGAUAAUAAUGAUGUUACAGGAUGCUGCAUUGUAAGUGCUUUUUGGUGGGUUUUGAGUUUGGGCUCUUUUGGCGUUUUAAGUUUGACUUCUUUGCUGAAUGUUUUAUUUUUAUUUUUUAUAUUAGUUGAUCUAAAUCCAACUUUUUCCUAUUUUUUAAACUCCAACCUUGAAUAAGAAAGUGUAUGCUUUGGAAUAAAGGGCCCUUCAUCUUCA